GAUGAACGCUGGCGGCGUGCCUAACACAUGCAAGUCGAACGAAGCACCUUUUAAGAUUCUUCGGAUGAUUGAUUGGUGACUGAGUGGCGGACGGGUGAGUAACGCGUGGGUAACCUGCCCUGUACAGGGGGAUAACAGUUGGAAACGGCUGCUAAUACCGCAUAAGCGCACGAGAGGACAUCCUUUUGGGUGAAAAACUCCGGUGGUACAGGAUGGGCCCGCGUCUGAUUAGCUGGUUGGCAGGGUAACGGCCUACCAAGGCGACGAUCAGUAGCCGGUCUGAGAGGAUGAACGGCCACAUUGGAACUGAGACACGGUCCAAACUCCUACGGGAGGCAGCAGUGGGGAAUAUUGCACAAUGGGGGAAGCCCUGAUGCAGCAACGCCGCGUGAGUGAAGAAGUAUUUCGGUAUGUAAAGCUCUAUCAGCAGGGAAGAUAAUGACGGUACCUGACUAAGAAGCUCCGGCUAAAUACGUGCCAGCAGCCGCGGUAA
rnacentral:rRNA from 1 species